rnacentral:lncRNA from 1 species
GCAUUUACUGAAAGACAUUUGCUUCAUUGCUCGUGGGUCAGAGGAAAUCUUGAUAACAACCCAUAUAGAGAGGACGAUCAUUGCUUAGCCUGCCUGGAAAAGGUCAAUAUGCCCUGUUCUCCACCCUCCAUCCGCCAUACACUUUACACGUAAAAAGGUUAGGUUUUUCAAUCUUCUACUAUAGCUGCAGAAGUCCAGCAUUUAAAAAAAAAAAAAUCGAAACUUUGUGAAAUAUUUCUAUUUAUUUUUACUUUUUGUUCUGAUCAAGAAAGUAAGAGGUGAAAGGAAAUGUAGGGGUAUGUGAAAAAAAUCAUGCAGUUCUCCUUUGCAGUUUAUUUUACCAUUUUAAAGAUUGAAAUGGCUUGGUAAAUUUUCUGUAUGGAAAUACUUUUGUUUGGUUUGGUGAGUUGUUUUUUUUUUUUUUUUAAUAAGUAGGGUGGAGUUGGCUACUUAAAAAAAUCCCUCCUUUAUAGCCUUUGAUCUCACAGGGCAGGUUUCUGAGUUGCAGUGCCAUUCUCAGGGAAACCUGACAUCUUUGAGUCUAAUUGCACUGCCAUAUUUCCCUCAACGUUCUCUAAGCAGUAAAUUUAAGCAACUUUAUCUGAGAGCCAUCCGUACCAGGGUAACAGAUGGAUUUGGAGAGCUCAUCUGAUUUUCUAUCUUCCAGUAGAUCAAAGACAAUUACCAACCAGAGACAGAGCCCAUAAAGAUUAUUGGAGACUUCAUCGUUCUGUGGAAACAGCAUCCAGUGCAUUCUGCACGCAAUUGGACUGAGCUGAGGCAUCCUCUUGUUUAGGUGGACUUGGCUGUCCAUAGCAGCUGAAGUUCCAGUUGGAAUUAUUUCAGAAAGACUAAGUGUAUUUAUCAUAUGGAGAUUUUAAUCCACAUUUGAGUCUGCUUCAAUCAAGACUUUCUAAGCCAUUUUCAACUCACUCCUGAGAUUAUUGAAAAUAAUUUGCAGGCCUUACACAUUUUUGAUUAUGUACUCACCAGAAGAAUUUUGAAAAGCUCUGCAUUCCCUUGCCCAUUUUUAACUUAACAUUAAAACAUAAAGCUCUUGUACAUGUCAAGAAUCUACAAAAUGUAAACAUAGAUAUUUUCAGAAAAAAUUGAUAGAGCACUCUUUUAAAUGUAUUUGAUGGAUCCUAAUACCAUAGUAAUUUGACAUACAUGAUCAUCCAUGAAGCAAUUAUCAGGUCAUCUUUAAUAACUGAAAAUAUUUUAUCAUUGCCUUUUGUCAUUGAACAUUCCAAUUCCCCUACAGAAUGUUAAUACAUGUUUGUACUGAACAUCUUUUAUCAUCUCUCUGUCACAUAUCUCUGAAACAAAUACAUAUUAGAACUUGAAAUCUAUUUUUUUCUCUGGGAUCAUAAGGAUCUAAGUGUUAAAAAAAAAAAAAAUUCCUCUUUGACCAGGCAUGGUGGCUCACGCCUAUAAUACCAGCACUUUGGGAGGCGAAGGUGGGUGGAUCAUCUGAGGUCAGGAGUUCAAGACCAGUCUGGCCAACAUGGUGAAACCGGUCUCUCCCAAAAAUACAAAAAUGAGCCAAGUGUGGUGGUGCACGCCUGUAGUCCCAGCUACUUGGGAGGCUGAGGCACAAGAAUCACUUGAACCUGGGAGGCAGAGGUUGCAAUGAGUCAAGACAGUGCCACUGCACUCCAGCCCUGGAACAGAGUGAGACUGCAUCUCAAAAAAAAAAAAAAAAAAUCCUCUUUGAUUACAUUAUCAUUGAUAUUGUUUUCAUUACUUU